CUUCGGUCCUGCCAGCCCCGGGCUGCACCCGGCUCCCUGUGCACAGCACCGGCCCGGCAGCUUGGCUGAAGGUGGCAGAGGAGAACCUUUGGAACCACCCUCACCAGAGAUCACAGUGCAAAACCAAGUCUUUAAAGGCUCAAGGUGCCCCAGCAGCAGCACUAACCCACAUGGGCAGCCCCUUGCUUUGCAUCCAGAGGGAUGCUGAUGGGCAGUACCAGUGCCAGGCAGGAAAAAGGAACUUUUGGAUGCUGUGAAGGCAGCAGUGACAGCACCUGGCCGUGUGCAGGCACUGAGCUCACCUGUGCCCACCACGAUGAACCAUUUCCUUCCUGGACACGAGCCCUCCCGGGAUGUCCUGCCUGGGAAAUGAAAUCAGCUCUGAAUGGGAAAUGCAACCCAGCUGGCACAGCCCAGGAAGAAAAAGGGCAGCAAAAGAAAAACAAAUUCAGAAGCUGGAAUGGAAAAACAAAAAAGUUAAAUGCUGUGCGUGCUGCUGUCCCUGUCACUCCCCCAAUCCCACGGCCGUGGUGGGAAGGCUGGCUUGUCCCACCAGGGUGGUGCAGAAAGGGUGAUUUUUCCUUUAGCAGGAUUCCUGCUUCACCACAAUCCUUUUCCUCCAGCCCUGGCUCUGGAGCAGGGAGCAGCUGGGUGCUGAGCCCGCCGCAGCCCAGCCGGGCGAGGGCAGGGAGGCGUGAGCUGAGACGGGGAGCCGAGAGCUUUAUUUUUAGUCCCGGUUUAACAAGUAUUAAUUAAUAAGAGUGCAAAUGCUAAUGCCGAGAUGACACAAACUGCGUUGCCUCAAAAAUGAAUGUUUGGGGCUUGUCUGUGCCAGGAUUUACAGCCGGGUGGGUU